GGCUUAUUGAUAAAGGAUUUUAAGUCUAGCCUGCCCCCUGAUAUAUUUAAAUGGCCGCAGUAUUUUGACUGUGCUAAGGUAGCAUAAUAAUUAGUUUUUUAAUUGAAAGCUAGAAUGAAUGGUAUUAUGAAAAAAUAACUGUCUCUUUUAAAAAAUUAAAAUUUUAUUUUUAAGUUAAAAAGCUUAAAUAUUAUUAAAAGACGAGAAGACCCUAUAGAAUUUUAUUUAAGUUAAUUUUUAAUAAGUUAGUAUAUAAAAUUUAAAAAUAAAUUUAUAUUUAGUUGGGGUGAUUAGAAAAAUAAAGUAUCUUUUUUUUAUAUUAACAUUAAUUUAUGAUUUUAUGAUUCACAUUAGUGAUUUAAGAAUAAAUUACCUUAGGGAUAACAGCGUAAUUUUUUUUUAGAGUUCUAAUCAAAAAAAAAGAUUGCGACCUCGAUGUUGGAUUAAAAUUUAUUUUUGGUGUAGUAGCUAAAAUAUUAAGUCUGUUCGACUUUGAAAAUUUUACA
rnacentral:rRNA from 1 species